AUACGUAGGUGGCAAGCGUUGUCCGGAAUUACUGGGCGUAAAGGGCACGCAGGCGGAUAUUUAAGUCAGAUCUGUAAUCUGUAGGCUUAACCAACAGCUCGGGUCUGAAACUGGCUAUCUUGAGGAUAGGAGAGGACAGUAGAAUUCCUAGUGUAGCGGUGAAAUGCGUAGAUAUUAGGAGGAAUACCAGUGGCGAAGGCGGCUGUCUGGCCUAUCACUGACGCUGAGGUGCGAAAGCACGGGUAGCAAACAGGAUUAGAUACCCUGGUAGUCCGUGCCGUAAACGAUGGGUACUAGGUGUGGGAGGUAUCGACCCCUUCUGUGCCGGAGUUAACGCAAUAAGUACCCCGCCUGGGGACUACGGCCGCAAGGCUAAA
rnacentral:rRNA from 1 species